UCCAGCCACUGCGCUCAGAACGCAGGUACUCUAGUAUUUGGCAGUAUUUUUUCUUGCGGGCGCGUGGGAAGGAUGGUCCAAUGUCAGGUUCAAUGAAACCACUCGAGGGGCCGCCUCCUGAACUGUUUGCCAGGCUUGGGGUGAGCUCAACGCUGUUGGCAUUCCUUCCCUCAUUUUGUUUGUUCCUUCCUGCCCACCAGACACGCCUGGCUCCGCUAGUGCUGUGUUCUUAUCAGCGGGCAGGCACCUUGUGGUGACUUGAGGUUAACUGGAGCGCUUAUAUAGGCUGAGGUCCCGCAGUGGCGGCCGAGGCCAGCCGUGCAAGGGGGACACGCUGGCAGGGGGCCUUGGGAGCCCAGGGAAGGGGAGCCUCACUCACGCAGGCGCUGGGUCCAGUCAACCAUGGAUGGACGUUCCAGGCGGAGCAAGCGGCCCUUGCGAAGGCCUGAGGAACGUGGAGGAAUGUGUUGAGUCCAAGACAGAGCAAGCAGCUUGGCAGAACUGGAGUGGACUCCAAGAAGGUGGAGCAGGUGACUGAAGUCAGGCAAAGGAGGCUGAGGCUGUGAAGGCCGGGACACACAGCGACUGGGAACUAAAACGGUGCCAAACUGGCGGGGCCACCUGAUCUUGGACUGUGAAUCACCACACUUGAAGAUAAAAUACACCUUCUCCUGUCUUCUCGUAUGGUUUUAGUUAAAGUCACAGAAAGCUGACUAAUACGCCAAGAAGGGCGCAUGGAUCAUGUUGAUUUGAUAAAGAAGAGUAUGUAACUAUGGAGGAAGAAAUGAAGGAAUGGAACCACCAAUACCAAAAUGUAGUACUGAGCUGGGUGAAUACGGAUAGCCUGAGGUAGGGUAUUACGCAUAGCAUAAUCCCAUAUCUUUACCAUUUGAAGCAUGCAGAACCCACUGUCUUGCUUACGGGCACACUUAUAUAUAGAGAGAAGGUUUUAGAAAGAGAAGAAGGGAAUAACACCAGUCAUCAUAUUGUCUUCUGUCAACGAAGAAAGUGAAUGGAACCGAGGAUGGGUACAAAGGGGCCUUCAACUAUCUUUGUGAUAUUUUAUGCUUAAAUUUGAUAAUAAAUACUGGGCUGUUCCUUU